GAUGAACGCUAGCGAUAGGCUUAACACAUGCAAGUCGAGGGGCAGCAUGGUCUUAGCUUGCUAAGACUGAUGGCGACCGGCGCACGGGUGCGUAACGCGUAUGCAACUUGCCUCACAGAGGGGGAUAACCCGUCGAAAGACGGACUAAUACCGCGUACACUCCAUCUUGGGCAUCCAAGGUAGAGGAAAUGAACUUCGCUGUGAGAUAGGCAUGCGUCCCAUUAGCUAGUUGGUGAGGUAACGGCUCACCAAGGCGACGAUGGGUAGGGGAACUGAGAGGUUGAACCCCCACACUGGUACUGAGACACGGACCAGACUCCUACGGGAGGCAGCAGUGAGGAAUAUUGGUCAAUGGGCGAGAGCCUGAACCAGCCAAGUCGCGUGAAGGAUGACUGUCUUAUGGAUUGUAAACUUCUUUUAUACGGGAAUAACAAGAGUCACGUGUGACUCCCUGCAUGUACCGUAUGAAUAAGCAUCGGCUAACUCCGUG
rnacentral:rRNA from 1 species